rnacentral:hammerhead_ribozyme from 1 species
AUCCAGCUGACGAGUCCUAAAUGGAACGAAUGGCACGUCCUAGAU